UAGGGAAUCUUCGGCAAUGGACGAAAGUCUGACCGAGCAACGCCGCGUGAGUGAAGAAGGUUUUCGGAUCGUAAAACUCUGUUGGUAGAGAAGAACGUUGGUGAGAGUGGAAAGCUCAUCAAGUGGCGGUAACUACCCAGAAAGGGACGGCUAACUACGUGCCAGCAGCCGCGGUAAUACGUAGGUCCCGAGCGUUGUCCGGAUUUAUUGGGCGUAAAGCGAGCGCAGGUGGUUUAUUAAGUCUGGUGUAAAAGGCAGUGGCUCAACCAUUGUAUGCAUUGGAAACUGGUAGACUUGAGUGCAGGAGAGGAGAGUGGAAUUCCAUGUGUAGCGGUGAAAUGCGUAGAUAUAUGGAGGAACACCGGUGGCGAAAGCGGCUCUCUGGCCUGUAACUGACACUGAGGCUCGAAAGCGUGGGGAGCAAACAGGAUUAGAUACCCUGGUAGUCCACGCCGUAAACGAUGAGUGCUAGAUGUAGGGAGCUAUAAGUUCUCUGUAUCGCAGCUAACGCAAUAAGCACUCCGCCUGGGGAGUACGACCGCAAGGUUGAAAC
rnacentral:rRNA from 1 species